rnacentral:tRNA from 1 species
GGGGCUAUAACUCAGAUGGCAGAGUACUUACAUGGCAUGUAAGAAGUCAGCGGUUCAAUUCCGCUUAGCUCCA